rnacentral:rRNA from 1 species
AAUAGAUACCCCGGUAGUCCACGCCGUAAACGAUGAGUGCUAAGUGUUAGAGGGUUUCCGCCCUUUAGUGCUGAAGUUAACGCAUUAAGCACUCCGCCUGGGGAGUACGGCCGCAAGGCUGAAACUCAAAGGAAUUGACGGGGGCCCGCACAAGCGGUGGAGCAUGUGGUUUAAUUCGAAGCAACGCGAAGAACCUUACCAGGUCUUGACAUCCUCUGAAAACCCUAGAGAUAGGGCUUCUCCUUCGGGAGCAGAGUGACAGGUGGUGCAUGGUUGUCGUCAGCUCGUGUCGUGAGAUGUUGGGUUAAGUCCCGCAACGAGCGCAACCCUUGAUCUUAGUUGCCAUCAUUAAGUUGGGCACUCUAAGGUGACUGCCGGUGACAAACCGGAGGAAGGUGGGGAUGACGUCAAAUCAUCAUGCCCCUUAUGACCUGGGCUACACACGUGCUACAAUGGACGGUACAAAGAGCUGCAAGACCGCGAGGUGGAGCUAAUCUCAUAAAACCGUUCUCAGUUCGGAUUGUAGGCUGCAACUCG